rnacentral:rRNA from 1 species
AGUGAACGCUGGCGGUAGGCCUAACACAUGCAAGUCGAACGGCAGCACAGUAAGAGCUUGCUCUUACGGGUGGCGAGUGGCGGACGGGUGAGGAAUACAUCGGAAUCUACUUUUUCGUGGGGGAUAACGUAGGGAAACUUACGCUAAUACCGCAUACGACCUACGGGUGAAAGCAGGGGAUCUUCGGACCUUGCGCGAUUGAAUGAGCCGAUGUCGGAUUAGCUAGUUGGCGGGGUAAAGGCCCACCAAGGCGACGAUCCGUAGCUGGUCUGAGAGGAUGGUCGGCCACACUGGAACUGAGACACGGUCCAGACUCCUACGGGAGGCAGCAGAGGGGAAUAUUGGACAAUGGGCGCAAGCCUGAUCCAGCCAUACCGCGUGGGUGAAGAAGGCCUUCGGGUUGUAAAGCCCUUUUGUUGGGAAAGAAAAGCAGCAGGUUAAUACCCCGCUGUUCUGACGGUACCCAAAGAAUAAGCACCGGCUAACUUCGUG